rnacentral:rRNA from 1 species
AAUAGAUACCCCGGUAGUCCACGCCGUAAACGUUGGGCGCUAGGUGUGGGGGCCAUUCCACGGUCUCUGUGCCGCAGCUAACGCAUUAAGCGCCCCGCCUGGGGAGUACGGCCGCAAGGCUAAAACUCAAAGGAAUUGACGGGGGCCCGCACAAGCGGCGGAGCAUGUGGAUUAAUUCGAUGCAACGCGAAGAACCUUACCUGGGUUUGACAUGCACCAGACAUCCCUAGAGAUAGGGCUUCCCUUGUGGUUGGUGUGCAGGUGGUGCAUGGUUGUCGUCAGCUCGUGUCGUGAGAUGUUGGGUUAAGUCCCGCAACGAGCGCAACCCUUGUUCCAUGUUGCCAGCACGUAGUGGUGGGGACUCAUGGGAGACUGCCGGGGUCAACUCGGAGGAAGGUGGGGAUGACGUCAAAUCAUCAUGCCCCGUUAUGUCCAGGGCUUCACACAUGCUACAAUGGCCAGUACAGAGGGCUGCGAGACCGUGAGGUGGAGCGAAUCUCUUAAAGCUGGUCUCAGUUCGGU